UGCCUCAUAUCAAGGUUUAAUACUGUAUCUUUAAAACAUAUAUCUUGUGUUUAAAUUGCCAACUGAAGUUAUAAAUCUAAUUUAGGACUAUCAGACCUUUUUUAAUACUUUACUAUGUUUUUAAUCCAGUGAUUGUUUUAAAGUUGAUACAUAACACUACAGGGAGAUAACUCUGUAAAAAAAAAUCAGUUGAAUAUUUUAAGCAUGAGCUAUUGUUAAAGAAAUAUUAUGCUUCUCAAUGAUCAAAGUAAGUGUUUGUCAAACUGCUUUUGAGCCAAUUAAUUUUUUUUGAUUUAGAAUGUGGUUUAAUUUUUUUUGAAUUUUUUAUAUUUUGUCAAAGGGGCAAAACUAUCUUUAUUCAAAGUUUUUGCAACACCUCGUGUUGACACAUGAACUAUGUUUAAUUGGACCAUACAAAUGUCCUUUAUCAUACAGUCUGAGUUAUUAUUAUUAUUCUAUAGAAACAGAUUUUGAUGAUUUUAUAAGAUACUAAAUUUCAAAGGUAUUUUAAUAUUCAGUGUAACAGACAACAAAAUGAUAUAAUAUUACAAAAGCAAUUG
rnacentral:lncRNA from 1 species